AUUAAUAAAAAAAGAAAAACAUAAGUCGAUGAAAAGCGCCGUCCGGAUUUUUACAUGAAAAAUGUCGUCCCGAUGUAUAUACAUGAAAAAUGUCCACACUACAUUUUUUUAGGGGGUCCACACUACAUUUAUGACGACGGAUGUAUACCACAUGAAAAAUCUGUAUACGAUAUUUAUGAGCUGAACGUGAGGCAUCGAUCGGUCGACAUUGUGUUGCCAGACCUACCCUGUUCCUCUCUCCUCCUUCGUCCCCAAGGCUCUGAAUCCCCUGCAGUUUCCUCUGCAGAACUCUGCAUCCGAGUGUAACUGAAGAACUCUGCAUCCAAGUGUAAUCUGAAGAACUCUGCAUCCGAGUAUAAGUGUGUAACCGAUACAUUUCUUGCACCACUAUGCAGUCUAUGCUAGUGCGUGGCCAAGAUGGCCGUCGGUCCAACACGAUCUACCUACAGCGCCAGUGCACGACCAGUUCAUCGCCGGAAUUAAUCAACAUGAUCGUUGGACGUGUGCCUUAUGAUCGUCGAUCGAUCUGACUAAACAGUACAAGGCGAGGCAAGAAAGAACGAACAAACGAAACUAAUAGUAGAUCAUACACGUGAAGACGACGUGAUCACCAACACCUGGGAGAGUACAGAGACGCAAAGAGAGAAGAGCAUAUCGUAAUAACGAUCUAGCCACGACGUGCACGCACGCACGCGCGG
rnacentral:lncRNA from 1 species